rnacentral:rRNA from 1 species
GACGAACGCUGGCGGCGUGCUUAACACAUGCAAGUCGAACGGAAAGGCCCCUUCGGGGGUACUCGAGUGGCGAACGGGUGAGUAACACGUGAGUAACCUGCCCUUGACUUCGGGAUAACUUCAGGAAACCGGGGCUAAUACCGGAUAGGAAUCCUUGCUGCAUGGUGGGGGUUGGAAAGCUUCGGCGGUUUUGGAUGGACUGGCGGCUUAUCGGCUUGUUGGUGGGGUAGUGGCUUACCAAGGCUUUGACGGGUAGCCGGCCUGAGAGGGCGACCGGCCACAUUGGGACUGAGAUACGGCCCAGACUCCGACGGGAGGCAGCAGUGGGGAAUAUUGCACAAGGGGCGGAAGCCUGAUGCAGCAACGCCGCGUGCGGGAUGACGGCCUUCGGGUUGAAAACCGCUUUCAGCAGGGGCGAAGCUUGUGGUGACGGUACCUGCAGAAGAAGCACCGGCUAACUACGUG